GAUGAACGCUGGCGGCGUGCCUAAUACAUGCAAGUCGAGCGAACAGACGAGGAGCUUGCUCCUCUGACGUUAGCGGCGGACGGGUUAGUAACACGUUGAUAACCUACCUAUAAGACUGUGAUAACUUCGGGAAACCGGAGCUAAUACCGGAUAACAUGUUGAACCGCAUGGUUCAACAGUGAAAGACGGUCUUGCUGUCACUUAUAGAUGGAUCCGCGCCGCAUUAGCUAGUUGGUAAGGUAACGGCUUACCAAGGCAACGAUGCGUAGCCGACCUGAGAGAGUGAUAGGCCACACUGGAACUGAGACGCGGUCCAGACUCCUACGGGAGGCAGCAGUAGGGAAUCUGCCGCAAUGGGCGAAAGCCUGACGGAGCAACGCCGCGUGAGUGAAGAAGGUCUUCGGAUCGUAAAAAUCUGUUAUUAGGGAAGAACAAAUGUGUAAGUAACUAUGCACGUCUUGACGGUACCUAAUCAGAAAGCCACGGCUAACUACGUG
rnacentral:rRNA from 1 species